CAGCAGCCGCGGGAAUACGUAGGUGGCAAGCGUUGUCCGGAAUUAUUGGGCGUAAAGGGCUCGCAGGCGGUUUCUUAAGUCUGAUGUGAAAGCCCCCGGCUCAACCGGGGAGGGUCAUUGGAAACUGGGAAACUUGAGUGCAAAAGAGGAGAGUGGAAUUCCACGUGUAGCGGUGAAAUGCGUAGAGAUGUGAGGAACACCAGUGGCGAAGGCGACUCCCUGGUCCGUAACUGACGCUGAGGAGCGAAAGCGUGGGGAGCGAGCAGGAUUAGAUACCCGAGUAGUCCCUGUCUCUUAUACA
rnacentral:rRNA from 1 species